rnacentral:rRNA from 1 species
CCUACGUGCGACAGCAGUGGGGGAUAUUGCACAAUGGGGGAAACCCUGAUGCAGCGACGCCGCGUGAGUGAAGAAGUAGUUCGGUAUGUAAAGCUCUAUCAGCAGGGAAGAAAAUGACAGUACCUGACCAAGAAGCCCCGGCCAACUACGUGCCAGAAGGCGCGGUACUACGUAGGGGGCCAGCGUUAUCCGGAUUUACUGGGUGUAAAGGGAGCGUAGACGGUUCUGUAGUCUGGAGUGAAAGCCCGGGGGCCAACCCCGGGACUGCCUUGGAAACUGUGUAACUGGAGUACAGGAGGGGCAUGCGGAAUUCGUGGUGUAGCGGUGAAAUGCGUAGAUAUCAGGAGGAACACCGGCGGCGAAGGCGGCCUGCUGGACUGAAACUGACGCUGAGGCUCGAAAGCGUGGGGAGCAAACAGGAUUAGAUACCCCUGUAGUC